AAUAUAAAACAUUAUUUACCCCAUUUGUAUCUGCGAGGCAUCCGUUACACAUUUCCCCUGUGUGGUAACGUAAUUAUGACUGUCGAAUGUCUGACUUGACUCUUGGUAAUGUAUUUU